rnacentral:rRNA from 1 species
UACGUAGGUGGCAAGCGUUGUCCGGAUUUACUGGGCGUAAAGCGAACGCAGGCGGACUGUUAAGUAGGAAGUGAAAGGUUGGAGCUCAACUCUAACACUGCUCCCUAUACUGGCAGUCUUGAGUGGCGGAGAGGGAGAUGGAACGACACGUGUAGCGGUGAAAUGCGUAGAUAUACGGAGGAACACCUGCGGCGAAGGCGGGUAGCUGGGCCAACACUGACGCUGAGACGCGAAAGCUAGGGGGAGCAAACGGG